GUCUAUAGUUAUGCCACCCCGAUCUUGUCUGAUCUCGGAAGCUAAGCAGGGUCGGGCCUGGUUAGUACUUGGAUGGGAGACCACCUAGGAAGACCAGGUGCUGUAGACU
rnacentral:rRNA from 1 species